GGUUGACCUCGGAUCAGGUAGGGAUACCCGCUGAACUUAAGCAUAUCAAUAAGCGGAGGAAAAGAAACCAACAGGGAUUCCCCUAGUAACGGCGAGCGAAAAUCGUCGA
rnacentral:rRNA from 1 species